rnacentral:rRNA from 1 species
UACGUAGGGUGCAAGCGUUAAUCGGAAUUACUGGGCGUAAAGCGUGCGCAGGCGGUUUGUAAGUUUGUCGUGAAAGCCCCGGGCUCAACCUGGGAAUUGCGAUGAAGACUGCAAGGCUUGAAUCUGGCAGAGGGGGGUAGAAUUCCACGUGUAGCAGGUGAAAUGCGUAGAGAUGUGGAGGAACACCGAUGGCGAAGGCAGCCCCCUGGGUCAAGAUUGACGCUCAUGCACGAAAGCGUGGGGAGCAAACAGG